rnacentral:rRNA from 1 species
AAAAACAUGUCUUCUUGAUUUUUAUAUGAGGUUUAACCUGCCCAAUGAUUAAAUUAAAUGGCCGCAGUAUUUUGACUGUGCAAAGGUAGCAUAAUCAUUAGUUUCUUAAUUAGGAACUGGAAUGAAUGGUUUGAUGAGAAAUAGACUGUCUUUGUUUAAUUUUAAUAGAAUUUUAUUUUUGAGUGAGAAAGCUUAAAUUUUAUAGAAAGACGAGAAGACCCUAUAGAGUUUUAUAAAUGGUACUAUAAGUUAUUAUAGGAUUUUUGUUUACUUAUUUUAUUAUUUAUUUUGUUGGGGUGACAUAAAAAUUUAGAAAACUUUUUAUUAUUUUAACGUGGAUAACUGGAUUGUUGAUCCUUUGCUUUGGAUUAUAAGAUUAAAUUACCUUAGGGAUAACAGCGUAAUUUUUUUUGAAAGUUCUUAUUGAUAAAAAAGUUUGCGACCUCGAUGUUGGAUUAAAAUUAACUGUUGGUGUAGUAGCUAGACAGUUGGGUCUGUUCGACCUUUAAAAUUUUACAUGAUCU